rnacentral:lncRNA from 1 species
AGUAAUAAUUCAAAGUCAUGUGUAGGAAUUGAUGUUUAAAUAUGAGGGUACAAGAGAAGCAGCUCAACAUCAUUGCAAGCUUUUAAUCCUGUGGCACUAGAAAAUGGGAGUUGCCAUUUAUGGGUGAGAGAUGAAGCUAAUAAAAGAGAGUCUAUUCUCCAUUUAUUUACUUUGUACCUUAGGUUAAUUUUCUGGAUAACUACCAUUCUAAUAAUAUGCCUUCUCAGCAAACUCAAUUUUACCAUAUUUGUCUCUAAAUUAUCUUUGUAAAUAUCCUGUGCAUCUUCCCAAAACAAUUUUCCACCACUGAGUGUAAAAGAUCAUUGUAUUUUUCUUUUCUAGUUGAAUAUUUGUGGAGAGUUUGGCUAGCAAACCUAAAUUACAACAUUUUAGUAUAUAUAAUUUAGUACAGGGAACAAAAAGAAUUAGAGGCAUUGCACAGAGUUUGUAAGAUUAUUGUUGCUGUUUCCAUUGUUUGGUAGAGUGUUUGCAAGUUUAGAGACUAAAUUGUAGUUCAUUUUUGUUCCUUAUCAUUUUUUAAAACUUUUUGUGUACAUUUAAGUUCAUAGCAUAUAAAGGCUUAAUUCUCACAUUGUUGGUUUUGGAAAAUCAUCAAUUUAUAAAUGCAAUAUCCCUUUCUUCUCAAUAAGGGUCAUUUUACAAAUGGAAAAUGUCAAAAUUCUUAUGGUACAGUUGAAAACAGAAGCACUCCUCAUGGUAUCUCAGAUAUGCAGUUAAGAAUGGGAACACAUUCUUGAUAUUUUAUUCCCAUCCACCCACCCCCUAAUGUACCUUUCUUUCUUGAGCUCAUGGCCAAGGAAGAAAACGAAUGUUUCUAGUUUUUCCCUGUUAUGUCCAACUGUGGUUAAAUGUCCCUGAAGCACGUACAGUGGUUUCUUUGUGUCUAUGUUUUCUUAUCUAUGACCACAUUUUGCCCUUACAAUAGCCCCAGCAGAUAAGUAGGCAAGUAUUACUAUCCCCAUUGUGCACACAGAUGUUCCAAGUUCAAGAAUGUUGCCUAAAAUCACAAAACUGGAUAUUGGCAAAUCAGGUCUCUAGACAUCCUGCCCAUCCAUCUUCUUUCUCCUAAACAGCAGCCUAUGAGGCUGGACUAACAUUUUUCUAGAUUAAAGUGAUACACAUUAACUACAGCUGUUUUUCCAAAUAUGUGGGUGGGUUAGUCAACAGCUGUUCUUAACCCUAAAGAGAAGCAAAAGCACAACCGCAGAGAAUGACAACAGGAAGCAUCUUUCAGGCAAUUUACAACUUUAGGCCAGGCCUCCACCCAUCCAAGCAAAACCUGUUCCCUUCAAAGCAGUUUUCUUAGAAAGCUCAGCAUAUUACAGCCUUUGAUGUUCUCUCCUCUCUCAAGUAGGUUCAUCUUUUAGAGGGUAGGUAGCUGAUGCUUACUUUAUUCUAUAUUAAAUAAUCUGACCUCUCCUGUGCUUUCUCUUCACCAACAGACUGGGCACAUUUCUCCAGUUGAAAAUUGUUUCCAACUUGAAGCACUCU